UCGCCGGACCUGACUGCUAUCGGAUUGAUACUAAGCCAUGCGAGUCAUUGUAGCAAUACAAGGCAGACGGCUCAGUAACGCGUAGUCAACCUACCCUAUGGACGGGAAUAACCUCGGGAAACUGAGUAUAAUGCCCGAUAGAACAUUAUGCCUGGAAUGGUUUAUGUUCCAAAUGAUUUAUCGCCGUAGGAUGGGACUGCGGCCUAUCAGUUUGUUGGUGAGGUAAUGGCCCACCAAGACUAUUACAGGUACGGGCUCUGAGAGGAGUGGCCCGGAGAUGGGUACUGAGACACGGACCCAGGCCCUAUGGGGCGCAGCAGGCGAGAAAACUUUGCAAUGUGCGAAAGCACGACAAGGUUAAUCCGAGUGGUUUCUGCUAAAGGAACCUUUUGUCAGUCCUAGAAACACUGAUGAAUAAGGGGUGGGCAAGUUCUGGUGU
rnacentral:rRNA from 1 species